rnacentral:rRNA from 1 species
GACGAACCGUGCGAACGUUGUUCGGAAUCACUGGGCUUAAAGGAUGCGUAGGCGGGUUCCCAAGUCCGGGGUGAAAUCUUUCGGCUUAACCGGAAAAUAGCCUCGGAUACUGGGAGUCUUGAGGGAGGUAGGGGCAGCUGGAACUUCCGGUGGAGCGGUGAAAUGCGUUGAUAUCGGAAGGAACGCCGGUGGCGAA